AAAAACAACAACAGAAAGAUGGACGUGUCUGUGGCGUGCUGGAGCAUUACGGAUAUGACCGGAACAAAUGAGGGAUGUGUGUGUAUGUAUGUAUGUAUGUGUAUAUAUAUAUAUAUAUAUAUAUACAUAUAUAUAUAUAUAUGAGACCUCAGCUCUGCCAUCACAGUCUGUGGACCGUAAAUGGCCUUCUGUUUCCACAUGGGCGAAGGGAGCAUCAUGGCAGUUGACUUUACAAAGAAAACAAAAGAACUAACAUUGCCUUGAUGCUCUCACUAUGCACUUUUCACAUACUCAAAACUGUGAGGACCCUGUGUGGACGUAAAGAGGAAGAAAGGGGGCGCUGUUUAGACGCUUCAAAUUCAACUGAAGCCCCUUCAUCAAGAAUAUAAACUAGCAAGACAGCAAGAACAGUAGUACAUCUCUUUUUCACUCCUGUGUACAUGUACAUAGAUAAUGCUGUUUUGUUUUUUUGUUUGUUUUUUUUUUCUCCACUAACUCUCAGCCAUUCUUGGGACUGAACUUAAGCUUGAUUACACACCAAUGAAGGAGGCUAAGGAGACAUCAGAUACUCUGAAUGUUGAGGAAUAACAGCUCAGCUCCUUGUUUGGAAUUGUGAACUACACAAUUAAACUCCAGCCAUUCAGAGAUUUCUCACUUAGACACAGAGCUGUCUGAAAGUUGAUGAACUGCUUGAUUCUGGGUGCUAGAACACAAACACAAAAAAAGAUUUCAUCGGAGGCUGGAGUUGAAAGUGAAAUUCUGGGGAUUGUUCCCUUAAAUGGUCAAGAUAUGGCCUUGGAAGAGGACUAGAGGAUGAAUGGUUGAGAUGAUGAAACUAGUUAUAAUGACUGCCUGCUGCACAGCUGUGGAUUAAUUUCAGCACGGAGUCGCCUGUGACUGCAUCGACAGAACUGUCCAUUUGACCAGUAUUCCAGAGCUUCUAAAGAGGAUGUUGACCAGCUGUAUUCUCGUUUUUCUCUCUCUCUCUCUCUCUCUCUCUCUCUCUCUCUCUCUCUCUCUCUCUCUCUCUCUCUCUAACACAUUCACUUGCGAAGAUUUAAAAGGAAGACCACUGAUGUUACAUGUCCAUAGAUGAGGAGGGUUACUCGCUCUUCUACCAUGGCACUACUUUCCAGGAACAGCUACUGAAUGAAAACAGGAAGAUGGGCUCUUCUGGAGGUGACUUCAAGAAGACAGAAGACUCUGGAUACUGGAACUGUGGAACUAUGGUAGUUAAAACCUGUACAGACUAGUAAACCACCUGUACGGCCGGGCCCUGCUGCAUACAUGGCCAGGCAUGUUCAGCAUACAUGCAGCAUGAUCAUCAAAUACUAUCACACACAAAGCAACUUGCAUCAACUGCUGUCUUGACUGAACCUUAUUCAAACACAAACAACUACAAAUAUAUACAGAGACUCCGUACCCAUGGCAAGUGGCUGCCCUGUAAACUGUGUAUACAUGACUUCUGCUUUUUCUUUUUUUUCUGUUGGGUGUGGUGAUUUUUUUUUUUUCUUUCUUUUGACAUGCCUUAACUGUACAGACAAGCCUGUACUUAAAGAUUGAAAAAUGUGUUGACCAUGCUUAGUUCAAUAUUCUUUUACUUCAACACUGAACUUAAAGGCUUUUUCAUGAAUUCUCUAUCAAAAGCUUUGGGUGAUGAUGUGUAUCUGGAAAACAAACCCCAUUUGAGCGCUAAAUUUAACUUGCUGCAUCAGGUUACACUCAAUCUGGCUAAUUGUGACACUUAAUACUAUGUGACAUGGCAUUGCACCACUGCAGAACCAUAUGUGUCCUUUUAAAAUGUGUAUUGGAAUUGAUAGAUUAUGAAGUGUAAUUAACUUUUAGAGGCCCUUAAGCCUACUUGUACUUGUGCACUACUGUGGAAGUAAGUACAAGUAUUUUCAGUUGUAUAACGAGAUUUUGAGCAUGCAUACAGGUUUUUACAGUGUGGCAGUUCCCUUAAGCAGAAGUCUACUAUGUUUCUGUAGCUGACCGAGUGGGACUGUCUGCUUUUUAAAUUCUCUCUAACUCAGACAUUUGGUUGUGGAUGUGAUAAUGGGGCUCAUAGGUAUACAGUCUCCUUUUACAGUGGCAAAAUAUUUAAACCAGGCAGUUUAACAAUGAUAGUAAUAGAGAUUAUCAGAUUAUCAGGAGUGAGUGGUCCUAUUAGCUACCACAGAUUACUUACAUGUUCUGCGACAAAAAAGAUGCAGGUCUUUGCAGACCGUGUGGUCCCCAUGUUGACUGUGGGCUUUAUAAGAAUGUGAACAAAACCUGUUAUCCAAACCGUACACUGAGUAACGAUAGUGACUGUAGGAAUAUCUGGAGUUUCCCAAAUACAUUUCAUGUCCUUCAUUUUUUUUGAUAUACGAAGGGAGAAGUAUAUAUCAGUAUUGAAUCUACUAUCUUCAUGCCACUCGCAUGUUAAAGCAUAACUUUAGUGGAGAUGAGACAAUGUUCAUUUGCCUUUUCAUUGUUACCUGUCAGCUUAGCCCUGUAGCUAAACUUUUAAAUGAGUCAGAUAUAACUUUUUUGAAAUCAUAUUGAAAAUGUUAGCGACAAAGUAAUAAUGUCCUGAUUAAUCAGAGUGUAAAUAGUUUGGGGUUUUUGUUUGUUUGAAAAUGACGAAGAAUACUAAAUAAACGCUUAUUAUUAAGGCCA